GGGGUAUCCAGUUUAUGUUAAGUAUUUAAAGAUAGAUAAGCUUGGACCGAAGUCUAAUAGAUGCUUAUUCAUAGGGUAUCCAAAGGAAACUAAAGGGUAUUACUUCUACCUCACUGCAGAACCAAAAGAUAUUUAUUAGCAGUUGGAUAGUCUUUUUGGAAAAGAAGUUUCUUGGUGAAGGAGCUAAUGUCUGUAAAAUUAAACUUGAUGAAGUUCAUGAGGUGGA
rnacentral:lncRNA from 1 species